rnacentral:rRNA from 1 species
AUACGGAGGGGGCUAGCGUUGUUCGGAAUUACUGGGCGUAAAGCGCGCGUAGGCGGUCCGCGUAGUCAGGCGUGAAAGCCCCGGGCUCAACCUGGGAACUGCGUUUGAUACUGAUAGACUAGAGGCCGGGAGAGGGUAGUGGAAUUCCCAGUGUAGAGGUGAAAUUCGUAGAUAUCGGGAAGAACACCGGUGGCGAAGGCGGCUACCUGGACCGGACCUGACGCUGAGGUGCGAAAGCGUGGGGAGCAAACAGGAUUAGAUACCCCAGUAGUCC